GACGAACCGUCCUAACGUUGUUCGGAAUCACUGGGCUUAAAGGGCGCGUAGGCGGGUCAGCAAGUCUGGGGUGAAAUCUUUCGGCUUAACCGGAAAAGUGCCUUGGAAACUGCUGGUCUAGAGGGAGGUAGGGGCAUGUGGAACUUCCGGUGGAGCGGUGAAAUGCGUUGAUAUCGGAAGGAACGCCGGUGGCGAAAGCGACGUGCUGGAUCUCUUCUGACGCUGAGGCGCGAAAGCCAGGGGAGCAAACGGG
rnacentral:rRNA from 1 species